rnacentral:rRNA from 1 species
UACGUAGGGGGCUAGCGUUGUCCGGAAUCAUUGGGCGUAAAGAGCGUGUAGGCGGCCCGGUAAGUCCGCUGUGAAAGUCGGGGGCUCAACCCUCGAAUGCCGGUGGAUACUGUCGGGCUAGAGUGCGGAAGAGGCGAGUGGAAUUCCUGGUGUAGCGGCGAAAUGCGCAGAUAUCAGGAGGAACACCAAUGGCGAAGGCAGCUCGCUGGGACGGUACUGACGCUGAGGCGCGAAAGCGUGGGGAGCAAACAGG